rnacentral:rRNA from 1 species
UGGGGAAUAUUGGACAAUGGGCGCAAGCCUGAUCCAGCCAUGCCGCGUGAGUGAUGAAGGCCCUAGGGUUGUAAAGCUCUUUCACCGGUGAAGAUAAUGACUGUAACCGGAGAAGAAGCCCCGGCUAACUUCGUGCCAGCAGCCGCGGUAAUACGAAGGGGGCUAGCGUUGUUCGGAAUUACUGGGCGUAAAGCGCACGUAGGCGGAUCGAUCAGUCAGGGGUGAAAUCCCAGAGCUUAACUCUGGAACUGCCUUUGAUACUGUCGAUCUAGAGUAUGGAAGAGGUGAGUGGAAUUCCGAGUGUAGAGGUGAAAUUCGUAGAUAUUCGGAGGAACACCAGUGGCGAAGGCGGCUCACUGGUCCAUUACUGACGCUGAGGUGCGAAAGCGUGGGGAGCAAACAGG